rnacentral:rRNA from 1 species
AUUGAACGCUAGCGGGAUGCCUUACACAUGCAAGUCGAACGGCAGCACGGACUUCGGUCUGGUGGCGAGUGGCGAACGGGUGAGUAAUGUAUCGGAACGUGCCCAGGAGCGGGGGAUAACUACGCGAAAGCGUAGCUAAUACAGCAUACGCCCCUAGGGGGCAAGCAGGGGAUCGCAAGACCCUGCCGUACUCGAGCGGACCAUCUCGGAUUGGCAAGUUGGUGAGGUAAUGCCCCACCACGGCCGCGACCCGUAGAUGGUUUGAGAGGACGACCAGCCACACUGGUACGGAGACACGGCCCAGACUCCUACGGGAGGCAGCAGUGGGGAAUUUUGGACAAUGGGGGAAACCCUGAUCCAGCCAUCCCGCGUGUGCGAUGAAGGCCUUCGGGUUGUAAAGCACUUUUGGCAGGAAAGAAACGGCGCGUGCUAAUACCAUGCGCAACUGACGGUACCUGCAGAAUAAGCACCGGCUAACUACGUGCCAGCCGCCGCGGUAA